UACGUAGGGGGCAAGCGUUGUCCGGAAUCAUUGGGCGUAAAGAGCGCGCAGGCGGUCGUUCAAGUCGCGUGUGAAAGCCCCCGGCUCAACUGGGGAGGGUCACGCGAUACUGAUCGACUCGAAGGCAGGAGAGGGAAGUGGAAUUCCCGGUGUAGUGGUGAAAUGCGUAGAUAUCGGGAGGAACACCAGCGGCGAAGGCGACUUCCUGGCCUGUUCUUGACGCUGAGGCGCGAAAGCUAGGGGAGCAAACGGG
rnacentral:rRNA from 1 species